rnacentral:ncRNA from 1 species
CCAGGGGAUAGGGUAGCUCCCGACAAGCCCGGUAUCCUGGCCGGGUUUCCCCCGGAGAACCACCAGGG